UGAGGAGUAAGGAGUACAGAGAAUGCAG
rnacentral:piRNA from 1 species